rnacentral:rRNA from 1 species
UACGUAGGGGGCUAGCGUUGUCCGGAAUCAUUGGGCGUAAAGAGCGUGUAGGCGGCUCGGUAAGUCCGCUGUAAAAGUCAAAGGCUCAACCUUUGAAUGUCAGUGGAUACUGCCGGGCUAGAGUCCGGAAGAGGCGAGUGGAACUCCUGGUGUAGCGGUGGAAUGCGCAGAUAUCAGGAAGAACACCCGUGGCUAAGGCGGCUCUCUAGUACGGUACUGACGCUGAGACGCGAAAGCGUGGGGAGCGAACAGG